rnacentral:rRNA from 1 species
UACGUGGGGGCAAGCGUUAUCCGGAUUUACUGGGUGUAAAGGGAGCGUAGACGGCAAUGCAAGUCUGGAGUGAAAGGCGGGGGCCCAACCCCCGGACUGCUCUGGAAACUGUAUAGCUGGAGUGCAGGAGAGGUAAGUGGAAUUCCUAGUGUAGCGGUGAAAUGCGUAGAUAUAUGGAGGAACACCGGUGGCGAAAGCGGCUCUCUGGCCUGUAACUGACACUGAGGCUCGAAAGCGUGGGGAGCAAACAGG